rnacentral:rRNA from 1 species
GUCGAACGGUAACAUGUCUAGCUUGCUAGAUGAUGACGAGUGGCGGACGGGUGAGUAAUACUUAGGGAUCUGCCUUUUGGAGGGGGAUAACCAUUGGAAACGAUGGCUAAUACCGCAUAAUGUCUACGGACCAAAGGGGGGGAUCUUCGGACCUCUCGCCAUUUGAUUAGCCCAAGUGAGAUUAGCUAGUUGGUGAGGUAAUGGCUCACCAAGGCGACGAUCUCUAGCUGGUUUGAGAGGAUGAUCAGCCACACUGGGACUGAGACACGGCCCAGACUCCUACGGGAGGCAGCAGUGGGGAAUAUUGCACAAUGGGCGCAAGCCUGAUGCAGCCAUGCCGCGUGUGUGAAGAAGGCCUUCGGGUUGUAAAGCACUUUCAGUAAGGAGGAAAGGGAUGUAGUUAAUAGCUGCAUUCUGUGACGUUACUUACAGAAGAAGCACCGGCUAACUUCGUGCCAGCAGCCGCGGUAAUACGAGGGGUGCAAGCGUUAAUCGGAAUUACUGGGCGUAAAGCGCACGCAGGCGGUUUGUUAAGCUAGAUGUGAAAGCCCCGGGCUCAACCUGGGAAUAGCAUUUAGAACUGGCAGACUAGAGUCUUGGAGAGGGGAGUGGAAUUU